ACCUUUUUGGUUCAUAAGCGUGUUGACUGGGUGCUCAUGCUGUUGUGUGAGAUGUACCUACCUCUGAACCUUGUUACCAUGUCAACAUAUCACCUGUCUAAUG
ensembl:snoRNA